rnacentral:antisense_RNA from 1 species
ACUUGUCGGCCGUUCUUCGUCCAGAGAUGAACAUGCCGGAAGCGGCCGUUCCCAGCUUUUCUCCGCAGGCCUCUCCAACCGAGCUUCUAUUGUAAAGCACCCUGUGCCGCGCAAAGCGUCAUGGGAACUGUAGUUCCGCCGCGCCCCGCGCCGCGUCCCCGGCUCUGAGUGGAGGAGCUGAAAGGGAGCGUGCGCGAAGUCACGCUUUUGGCUGCGACGCAACCGCCGCUGGGCGUUUUCCACAACAUUUGGGAAGAUUUACAAGGUAUAUACUCCAUUUAGGCAAAAAUAACUCUCAGGGAAUAGUCAUUGUCAAGAGCAGUUUGUAUUGCAACCCACAAGUUAUACCUCUAUGUCGGUCCGGAAAUCCUUCAAUUUACUAAGAGAUUAUGUUUGAAAAGCUUAGAAAAAAUAAACAAUCCUGAAAAACUAAGUAGGCAGAGCCCAUAUCUGUUCUGUUCACCAUCAUAUACCAAGUGCCUUACAGAAUGCCUGGAACAUAGUAGACACUCAACAAAUAUUCAUUGAAUGAAUGAGUGAAUGACACUAGGCUUAGAUACUAGCUUAAAAUAACAGACGAAGAAUCCUAAUUUCAUUAAAAGUAGGACCAGCUUUACAGACCAGUGGGAGAUGCAGGCUACAGGGAGAACACAUGGAAUUCCAGAAUCAUGAACCAUCUGGAAGGGGCUGUGGACACAUAUGAAGUAUGUGUCUAAAGCUUCAGUCUAAAGCUUCAGGAUCAAUUUUGGGAGCCAGAUGUUCUUCAUUUAAGGGCAAAAGACCAGAGAAU